rnacentral:rRNA from 1 species
UAUCAAUAAGCGGAGCAAAAGGGUCCCUGCAUANCACUAAGCGGAGCAAUAAGGGUCCCUGCCUUGCACUAUAGCCGCGAGUCAUAUGUGUUCCCUUGCAAACAGGAAGUCACAAGACAGGUGAGAAUCCCGCUGCGAUGAGGUGUCCAUUUCUAUGUAAGAUGUUUUCCAAGAGUCGAGUUGUUUGGGAAUGCAGCUCUAAGUGGGUGGUAAAUUCCAUCUAAAGCUAAAUAUUGGCGAGAGACCGAUAGCGAACAAGUACAGUGAUGGAAAGAUGAAAAGAACUUUGAAAAGAGAGUGAAAAAGUACGUGAAAUUGUUGAAAGGGAAGGGUAUUAGAUCAGACUUGGUAUUUAGUUAUCAUUACUCCUUGUGGGUGGUGCUCUAACUUUUUACUGGGCCAGCAUCAGUUUUGGUGGCAGGAUAAUGACAUUUGAAUGUGGCUCCUCGGAGUGUUAUAGCUUUUGUUUGAUACUGCCUAUCGGGACUGAGGUCUGCGGCUUUUGCCCUNGNAUGCUGGNGUAAUGGAUCCAAUU